rnacentral:rRNA from 1 species
AAGCCAGCUCUAGCCCAGCCAUAUCACAACCAAACAAGCCAAAACCGACUCCACUACUAAACUAAAACAUUCUCCUGUCUUAGUAUGGGCGACAGAAAAGACACCCCUGGCGCGAUAGAGAUCACGUACCGUAAGGGAAAGUUGAAAUAACAAUGAAAAACAAAGCAACAAACAGCAAAGAUAAACCCUUGUACCUCUCGCAUCAUGAUUUAGCAAGAACAACCAAGCAAAACGAACUUAAGCUUGCCCCCCCGAAACUCAUGCGAGCUACUUACAGGCAGCUGCCCGAGCGAACCCGUCUCUGUGACAAAAGAGUGGGAUGACCUGUUAGUAGAGGUGAAAAGCCAAUCGAGCUGAGUGAUAGCUGGUUGCCUGUGAAACGAAUCUAAGUUCCCUCUUGACACCCCCUUCCCCACGGACAACCCCACCUAGCCCCCAUGUAGCUAAGCCAAGAGCAAUUUAAAGGGGGUACAGCCCCUUUAAAAAAGAGAACAGCCUCCCAUAGAGGAUAACUUAACCAUCCGCUAACCAUCCAAACUGUAGGCCCUUAAGCAGCCACCAACAAAGAGUGCGUCAAAGCUCCCAACCUAAAAAAUCUAAAAACAACACGACUCCCUCAUCUCCAACAGGCUAACCUAUGCAGAUAGGAGCACCAAUGCUAAAAUGAGUAACUAAGGGGGGCCCCCCCUCUUAAGCGCAAACUUACAUCCCACAUUAUUAACGGACCACAACCAAUACCACAGACCCACACAAGACCCCAUAUUUUACCCCCCCCGUUAAUCCAACCCAGGAGCGCCCAACUAGAAAGAUUAAAAUCUGUAAAAGGAACUAGGCAAACCCAGGACCCGACUGUUUACCAAAAACAUAGCCUUCAGCAAGCCAAGUAUUGAAGGUGAAGCCUGCCCAGUGACACCANGUUCAACGGCCGCNGUAUCCUAACCGUGCAAAGGUAGCGCAAUCAAUUGUCCCAUAAAUGGGGACCGGUAUGAAUGGCUAAACGAGGCCCCAACUGUCUCUUACAGAUAAUCAGUGAAAUUGAUCUCCCUGUGCAAAAGCAGGAAUAAACACAUAAGACGAGAAGACCCUGUGGAACUUAAAAAUCAGCAGCCNCCCGACACAAAAUCAAACCUAUCAGGCCCAUUACAACCAGACACUGGCCUGCAUUUUUCGGUUGGGGCGACCUUGGAGAAAAACAAAUCCUCCAAAAACAAGACAUCCCCUCUUAACCAAGAGCAACCUCUCAAAGUACUAACAGUAACCAGACCCAAUACAAUUGACCAAUGGACCAAGCUACCCCAGGGAUAACAGCGCAAUCCCCUUCAAGAGCCCAUAUCGACAAGGGGGUUUACGACCUCGAUGUUGGAUCAGGACAUCCUAAUGGUGUAGCAGCUAUUAAGGGUUCGUUUGUUCAACGAUUAACAGUCCUACGUGAUCUGAGUUCAGACCGGAGCAAUCCAGGUCGGUUUCUAUCUAUGCACGAACUUCUCCCAGUACGAAAGGACCGGAAAAGUGGGGCCAAUGCUUUAAACAUGCCCCCCCCACAAGUAAUGAACCCAACUAAAUUACAAAAGGCCGCACAUCAGCCCUAAUCCCAGAAAAGGAUCG